CAAGACAGUGAGAAAACGGAUGUGAGAAAGGAAGGACCUGAUCAUCCAUCAGAUGGAAUCCAGACGUGACAAUUAGAGUUAAUGAACCACGACCCAUAAAGCUGCUUCAGCACCUUUUUACAACCCCACUUCAAGGCCUUAAUAAAAGUACCAGGGCUUGUUUUACAGAGCACAUCUGCUCUAAAUUCCAAAAAGAGAAACUUUAAAUUCAGAAGUUAUGUUUGGUUUCUUCCCCACUUUUCAGUCAUGUAUAAAGUAUAUUUACAAGCAGUGUAUUUACCUUUAUAUCUGUUCAGUCAACAGAACAUCUACAUUGGAAGAUAGUUUUCUUUACAAUGAGACUGUAUUAUUACAGUAGCUAUUUAAUUUACAGUAAUGUUAAUAAGCUGCUGAAGCUGACUGAAAAGUACCGGGCAAAUAUUUUUUAAAUUUCUCCAUCUAUAUUCAAGUAUGCUUUUGAUUUCAGAUAGUUAGAAAGUUUAUAGUAUGCUUUACAAAAAUUAGGUUGAUUUGCUGCUUUUGAAAGGUGCCUUUCUCAGUCUUGACACUGAAGUCCUCCAAUUCUUCACAGAGCAGGUAUGGCUAAUGAAGCAAUAGCUCUUUCUCCCCAAAGUCCAGAAGAUCUGCUGAACUUCUAAGGCUGAGGUUGGAACUGAUCAUUCUUGCCUCACGGACAAAGCAUUUCUGGAGUUUUUCAGGUUUUGGAUCCUACCCAUUUCCUUAGAUAUCAAGUACCAGUACUACACCAGCACUGCUUCUUCUGUCCACAAGUAAAAAGAAGCAAGGGGAAGGACAAAGUAACUCAUAGAGUAAUUGUUAGAAGACUCCCUUUUGCAUAUUAGGAGAUGACUGGAAGAGCUCUGGUCUAGGCUACAAGGUAUAACAUAUACAGGGAAGGAGAAGUCAUUUUGUUCCUCACCACCGUGACAAGAGUAAAAAUAUCAAGAAAUUGACCCUGUUGUAUCACAAAGCUUCAGAUGGUAGUUGUUGAGCAGCCUAAUUAUGAUGCAUUGUUUGCAGAUUGUCAGUGUUUUUCAGGAAAGUAAAGAGAAUGUCUUAUUCUGUCAGAUAGCUAACGGUAACCCAAAAUCCCUGUUUUAUCCCAUAUCACACUAUUUCUUUCUAGAAAAAGGGGACAAGACAAGUUCCUUUCAGAGCCUCUCAACAAGUUUCCCCAGGUCACCAUAAUGCAUGCAUUUGGUCUUUUGCUAUUAUACGGAACGGAGGAUUGAUACAGGAUUGAUAAUUCUUGUUUUUCAGUAUCAGGCAUACCUUCCGCUAGCCUCCUCCUAAGAUGUUCUGCCAAGUAUGCAAUCCAUCAGUUUGCAAUGUUCUCCCUAUCUAUAGCAGAGAGCUCCAAGUCUCGCUGCAUGCUAACUUCCCUGUCUUCUCCAGUGACGCUGCCACACUGGUUUCUCUUCACUCCUAGCUACAUUUCCUGAUGUUUCCUGAUGCUCCCCUUCUUGUCCUCCCCACAGCAGGGAUCAUGAAAUAGUAUGAGGGACAAGAAAGCAGAUCCUUGGGAAUCCCAAUCUAUUUAAUCCUUAAGAGAUGAAAUUCACUCUCUUCUUCUAGACUAUACAUUUAGACAAAACUGUUACACCCCCAAGUUGAUAUUAACCUUUAAUUUAAAAAUUAAUGAAGCUGCAUAUUAAUCCAUGACCAAAUCAAUGCUAGAGCCAUUUGCUGGAAGGAUAAUAGAUAAUGUCUCAACAAAAUACGAUGUCAGCCCAAGGUCUGAUAUGUAUACAGUACUAGCACAAAAAUGGUUUUCCCAAAACAAAGCAAUUCACUAUGAAAACUGGUAUCUAAAUUACAAUUGCUUUUUGGUAAUGGUAAGCAAUUCCAGGAACACUUGUCCAGUUUAGGCCUUGUCAAAGCCUCCUACAGGAAAAUAUAUUAUUCCACUCUUUUUGUAAUAAGCAGAAAAUAUCAACACCUUUAGGUGACACUGUGCUUUGCUCGCAGGAACUCAGUGGGAGCUGGUGCCGCACGCAGAAGAACCUUCCCACUGAGUUCCUGCAGCCCGGUUCAGAAACCUGCAAAGGCAAGAUACUCAGUGCAGGGCAGGAAGCCUGCAAGAGCUCGGAGACAGUGUCUCGCGGCCAGCUGCAUCCCGAUUCCCUCUUCUCACUGAGUUAAAAAGUGAUUGGUCACAUCCUGCUUCUGGGGAAGACAAAGGCAUCUCAGCAGUUGGUACCUCUAACUCUGAACUGGAAGAAAACCAGCUUUCAGAAGUAAGAGUCCAGUUUGGUCUUGCACGUGGAAAUGUCUGUGGGAGAUACAUCCAGGAAAAAAAUAUUCAGUGUUGACACAAAGAUAAGAGACCACUUAAGAACUCAGAAUCAUGGCUUGGAAGAUCAGAUCAAGCAUACAUUUUCAAUCCUUCUUGUGAGUUACGGUCCAAGUUUUUGCAUACAAUCUAAACAGAACUAAAGUAAACUUCCCAAUCUUUUAACUAAUAGAAGAUAUAUGGGACCAACCUCCCAGCACAGUAAGUGUAUUAAACAAAUGCCAUGUGUACUAAUUAAAUUAUGGAAUUAAAAAAAUAAAUAAAUAAAAACUAUGUGCAUAUUCUCAA